GUGUCGUCUGCUUCGUUUAUUAGUUGAAAAUUUCGAGAAGACAAAGUUUCAAGAAAAGCAUGGUUCAAGAUUUAUACGGAUUUAUAUUAUUUGCUUUUGUUAUACACCAUGAUGUUAAGCGGACUUGAGGCCAGAGCCAGCUAUCAUAACCACACAACAUGCAAGUUUAUCUUGUGCAAGUGUUCACAUGUCAUCAGCAACAAUCUCAGGAUCAUCGCUUGGAUAAACAGCAUUCCUCUUGAUUGGAGAUUCUACCGAUGUCAACCGAGUUACGGAUCUCCCUUUUUCCCCUUUCUUUAAAUGUUCUUGUGUACGCCCAUGUGAAUGUGGGUGUAUUCACGAGGACAACCCUUUUUACCCUAUCCGUCUGGUGCCAUUUAAAUCUUCAGCUGAUGGAUGGAGCAACUGUAGAGAUGCCUGGCUGUAUUUCCCAGGCACAGAAGAUGGGGAAGUCGCGGUGUGAGAGCGUUUCCUCGUUCUCCGCGCUCAAAUUCAAAAAAUCACAUUCGUCUACAUAUGAGGAAGGACGGAGCAAAAGAGAGCCGAGCCGCUUUUCUUUUCUUUUUUAUAUGCCUGCAACAUUUUCAUAAAAUAAAAUAAAGAAAAAAGGAAAUUGGUGUCCAAGCAUUUACGAAUAGAUUCCUUAUGUUGGCGGAGAACCAAUUAAAACGGAUGGCAAAGAGAUCCUUGUCCUGAUGGGGUCGGAAACGGUCGAAAGUGAGGUGGAUAGAGAGGAGGAGCCCAUCAC